AGUGGCGGACGGGUGAGUAAUGUCUGGGGAUCUGCCCGAUGGAGGGGGAUAACCACUGGAAACGGUGGCUAAUACCGCAUAACGUCGCAAGACCAAAGUGGGGGACCUUCGGGCCUCACACCAUCGGAUGAACCCAGAUGGGAUUAGCUAGUAGGUGGGGUAACGGCUCACCUAGGCGACGAUCCCUAGCUGGUCUGAGAGGAUGACCAGCCACACUGGAACUGAGACACGGUCCAGACUCC
rnacentral:rRNA from 1 species